ensembl:lncRNA
GCUGAAGCUCCAAUAUUGUGGCCACCUGAUGUGAAGAGCCAACUCAGUGGAAAAGACCCUGAUGCUGGGCAAGAUUGAGGAUAGGAGGAAAAAGGAACAACAGAGGGCGAGAUGGUUGGAUGGCAUCACUGACUCCAUGGACACGAGUUUGAACUUCUUUCUGCCAUGAGACAUCAGAACCUGAGAGUCAGUGUGUCCAGACGCAGAUGCUGAACCCCCGCCAGGCGGCAGAAGUUCAGUGUCUGCUGCCCACAGGCACGUAGACCCGAGACUCGCUGAAGCCGGAAGGUUGGUGACGCUGACUGUCACUCACCACACCACCAGCCCGUCAGCACGGCGUCCCCGAGCUGCUCACACAGGCCUUGAGCCACGACUACUCCCUCCAGGUCUGGACACACGGCUUUGAGGGCAUUAGCCCUCUGGGGCCCCUCAGCCUUGGCAAAGCAAGUAAAGAUAUUCUUUUCUACUUCACCCCCCUUCACACACACACACACACACACACACACAAAUAGACAAUGUGAUGGAAAAUAUGAGAGAAAAAUAGGAAAAUCAGAGUUAGUCCUGGAGAGUUAAACUUCUGAAAAACAGGGGUUCUUGGAAGACAGAAGAGAGGAAACAGCAGUAAGGAAAUCCUCUUGGAAAGAGCUCAGAAAACCCCCAAAUGGAGCUGAAGCAGCCUUCAGUUUCCAAGGGCAAAUGGCAAGGCAAGUGCCCAGGAGAGAGUUUGCAAACAGAAGUCAUGCCACAGCUAACCAGGACGCCAGGGUGUGGAGCCCUUGCCAGCUCCUCUGACAUACAGAGAGGGGGUCACGGCCAAAUGACCAGCAACCAAAAGGGGUCCAUACCCUACUGGGGGCGGGGGUGGAUACAUCUCCUAGUAACUUUCUUAAAAAAAAAAAAAGCAAAAU